CCUUAGCGACUGCGGAGGACAU
rnacentral:rRNA from 1 species